AUUGAACGCUGGCGGCAUGCUUUACACAUGCAAGUCGAACGGUAACAGGUUAAGCUGACGAGUGGCGAACGGGUGAGUAAUGCAUCGGAACGUGCCCGGUCGUGGGGGAUAACGCAGCGAAAGCUGCGCUAAUACCGCAUACGAUCUGAGGAUGAAAGCGGGGGACCGUAAGACCUCGCGCGAUCGGAGCGGCCGAUGGCAGAGUAGGUAGUUGGUGGGGUAAAGGCUCACCAAGCCGACGAUCUCUAGCUGGUCUGAGAGGACGAACAGCAACACUGGGACUGGGACACGGACCAGACUCCUACGGGAGGCAGCAGUGGGGAAUUUUGGACAAUGGGCGAAAGCCUGAUCCAGCAAUGCCGCGUGCAGGAAGAAGGCCUUCGGGUUGUAAACUGCUUUUGUACGGAGCGAAAAGGCUCUCUCUAAUACAGGGGGCUCAUGACGGUACCGUAAGAAUAAGCACCGGCUAACUACGUGCCAGCCGCCGCCGUAA
rnacentral:rRNA from 1 species